rnacentral:misc_RNA from 1 species
UUUCCGUAGGUGAACCUGCGGAAGGAUCAUUAACGAGUUAGGGUCGUUUAGGCCCGACCUCCCAACCCUAUGUUUAUUGAACCUCUGUUGCUUCGGCGGACCCGUCUCACGGCCGCCGGAGGACCGCUGCGAGGCGUCCUCUGGCCAGCGUCCGCCGAUGGCCAACCCACUAAACUCUGAAUGAAUCGUGUCAUAUGUCUAAGUCUAUGAUUAAAUUAAAGCAAGACUUUCAACAACGGAUCUCUUGGUUCUG